rnacentral:rRNA from 2 species
UUGGUGGGAUACUACCCUCGCUGUAUGACCACUCUAACCCGCACCACUAAUCGUGGUGGGAGACAGUGUCAGGUGGGCAGUUUGACUGGGGCGGUCGCCUCCUAAAAAGUAACGGAGGCGCCCAAAGGUUCCCUCAGAAUGGUUGGAAAUCAUUCGCAGAGUGUAAAGGCACAAGGGAGCUUGACUGCGAGACAGACAGGUCGAGCAGGGACGAAAGUCGGGCUUAGUGAUCCGGUGGUACCGUAUGGAAGGGCCAUCGCUCAACGGAUAAAAGCUACCCUGGGGAUAACAGGCUUAUCUCCCCCAAGAGUCCACAUCGACGGGGAGGUUUGGCACCUCGAUGUCGGCUCAUCGCAUCCUGGGGCUGUAGUCGGUCCCAAGGGUUGGGCUGUUCGCCCAUUAAAGCGGUACGCGAGCUGGGUUCAGAACGUCGUGAGACAGUUCGGUCCCUAUCCGUCGCGGGCGUAGGAAAUUUGAGAGGACCUGUCCUUAGUACGAGAGGACCGGGAUGGACAUACCUCUGGUGUACCAGUUGUGCCGCCAGGCGCAUCGCUGGGUAGCUACGUAUGGAUGUGAUAAACGCUGAAAGCAUCUAAGUGUGAAACACACCUCGAGAUGAGAUUUCCCAUUCCUUUAUGGAAGUAAGACCCCUGAAAGAUGAUCAGGUAGAUAGGUUAGAAGUGGCAGUGCGGUGACGCAUGAAGCGGACUAAUACUAAUCGGUCGAGGACUUAACCAAG